rnacentral:rRNA from 1 species
AGUGAACGCUGGCGGCAGACCUAACACAUGCAAGUCGAACGGCAGCACAGUAAGAGCUUGCUCUUACGGGUGGCGAGUGGCGGACGGGUGAGGAAUACAUCGGAAUCUACUUUUUCGUGGGGGAUAACGUAGGGAAACUUACGCUAAUACCGCAUACGACCUACGGGUGAAAGCAGGGGAUCUUCGGACCUUGCGCGAUUGAAUGAGCCGAUGUCGGAUUAGCUAGUUGGCGGGGUAAAGGCCCACCAAGGCGACGAUCCGUAGCUGGUCUGAGAGGAUGAUCAGUCACACUGGAACUGAGACACGGUCCAGACUCCUACGGGAGGGAGCAGUGGGGAAUAUUGGACAAUGGGCGCAAGCCUAAUCCAGCCAUACCGCGUGGGUGAAGAAGGCCUUCGGGUUGUAAAGCCCUUUUGUUGGGAAAGAAAAGCAGCAGGUUAAUACCCCGCUGUUCUGACGGUACCCAAAGAAUAAGCACCGGCUAACUUCGUG